CCUCCUUUCUAAGGAUGAGUGAAAGUAAAAUUUCACUCUAAAUAAUAUACAUCGGUAAUGUUGACCGUCCUCAUUUCUCUUCUUAAAGUAAUGUUUCCUUCUUGUAGGGCCGGUAGCUCAGUUGGUUAGAGCACACCCUUGAUAAGGGUGGGGUCGAAAGUUCGAGUCUUUCUCGGCCCACCAAUAACUCAAUGGGGGAUUAGCUCAUCUGGGAGAGCGCCUGAUUUGCAUUCAGGAGGUAGCAGGUUCGAUCCCUGUAUCCUCCACCAGGAAACAUUUAGUUAUUAAAACUGUAAAUAAAAAUAAUUUAUAUCAAUAUCUAUAUCCGAACAUUAAAAGU
rnacentral:tRNA from 1 species